rnacentral:lncRNA from 1 species
GGCUAUGGGGAUGGGGAGGGGUUGGAUGGGGGUUGGAUGGGGAGGGGAAGGGGCUACGAAAUGGGGAGGGGUUAUGGAAUGGGGAGGGGUUCUAUGGGUGGGGGAAGGGGUCUGGAAAUGGGGAGGGUCUACGAAUGAGGGGGAGGGUCUCUGGAAAUGGGGCGGGGCUACGCUUUUUUGGGGCGUGGCUUUUUCGGCAGGUGUGGCUCCGAUGUGGGCGGGGCUUCGGUGUGGGCGGGGCUUGGGAGGGGGAGGGGCCAUCGCCGUCCCCGGGAUCUCAGUGUCAUAAAUUGACAUUGGGGGGGGGGGGGNNNNNNNNNNNNNNGGGGGGAGCAUUGUUUUUCCAUAGAAAUUUCCCUUUUUUGCCUCUUUUAUUCCCACCUUUUCCUUUUUUUUCAGAUCUAUUUAUUAUUAUUUUCCCCUCCCCAGUGUGUGCAGUGGGGAAGGGGGAGGGGGAGCCCAGGAAAUGGGGAGACCCCAAAAAUGGGAAUCCCCCCUUUCCCCCCCCCACUCCAAGAACUGGGGAGAACCCCAAAGAAAGGGGGGGUGUCAGGAGAUGAGGUGAACCCCAAAAUUUGGGUCCCUACCCAGGAAUUGGGGAGAUCCCUAAGAAUCAUAGAGGUGCACCAAGAACUGGGGGGGAGGGGUCAUAAUGGGGGACACCCCCGAGAAGUGGGGGACCCCCCCCAAAAGUGAGGAUCAGCGAAGAAAUGGGGACCCCCCCCCCCCAAGAAGCGUUGAGGCGCCCCGGGAUGUGGGGACACAGCAGGAAUUGGGGACACGGGGGGGGUCUGGGGGGGUCCCUGAGAUCUGGGGGUGCUCUGAGGAAUGGAAGAUGGAGACCCCAAAGGCACGGAGACCCCAGGAGCGUCGGGGGACCCCAAAAAUCUAUGAGGAACCCAAAGAUGUGAAGACCCCAAGAAUAUGGGGAUCCCAAAGACCUGAAGACCUCAAGAACUAUGAAGACCCCAAAGUCCUGGAGACCCCAAAAAUACAUGAAGACCCCCAAGGACAUGGAGACCCCAAAGUCAUGGAGACCCCAAGAAUCCAUGAGGACCCACAGGUCAUGGAGACCCCAAAAAGGUGGAGACCCCAAAGAACAUGGAGGCCCAAACUCAUGGAGACCCCAAAUGAGAACAUGGAGACCCCAAAGACAUGGAGACCCCAAGAACUACGAAGACCCCGAAGUCAUGGAGACCCCAAAGACUGUGGAACCCCAAGAACACGGGAUCCCAAAGACACGGAGACCCCCAAGGACAUGGAGACCCCAAAAUUCAUGAGGACCACAAGACGAUGGAGACCCCAAAGAUGUGAAGACCCCAAAGACAUGAAGACCCCCAAGAACAUGGAGACCCCAAACACUGUGGAACCCCAAGAACAGAGACCCCAAAGAAGACAUGAAGACCCCAAAGAAGACAUGGAGUCCCCAGAGACAUGGAGACCCCAAAGAAGACACGAAGACCCCAAGGGCACGGAGACCCCAAAAUUCACGGAGACCCCAAGAACACGGAGACCCCAAAGAAGACACGAAGACCCCAAGGCCGUGGGGACCCCAAAGACACGGAGACCCCGAGAACACGGAGCCCCCAGCACUCGAAGCCCCCCACCCCACAGAAGCCCCCCAAGCCUGGGGAGCGGGGAUGCACCAGGAAUGGGGGAACACAGCGGGAACGUCACUGGGUGGGGGGGCGGGGAGGGGGGAGGGGAGGGAUUUGGGGUCGCCCCCCCAGAAAUGGGGGUCCCCGAGAAGAGUGGGGUGGGGGCGCGGCGGGACGGGGCCCCCCGGGGUGGGCGGCUCUUUGGUUGAGCGCACGACUCUGAGGUAUUUGUCCGCGGGCUGGGGGGUCUGGGGGGGUCCUGCGCCCCUCCUCNNNNNNNNNNNNNNNNNNNNNNNNNNNNNNNNNNNNNNNNNNNNNNNNNNNNNNNNNNNNNNNNNNNNNNNNNNNNNNGGUCCCCCCCCCAUCCCCCACCACGGGGGGGAAGGCGGAGGGGUGGGGGGCACCACGGGGGAACCCACGGAGGGGGGCUGGGGGCGUGGCGCCGCGUGGAGGUCGUGACCCCGCGGAGGACCCCGGGGUCGUGACCCCUUGGAGGACUCCUUGGAGGACCUCUUGGAGGACCUCGAGGUCGCGACCCCGUGGAGGACCCCCA